CCACAAUGUCUCCAGGGCCCCUCUUCCUCACUCUGUGGAUUUGGACCACCUCUCCUGCUCCCCCAGCACCCAACCUGACAUUCAGCUACCACCACAUCUGGAAGAAGAACGCUCAUGAACACUGGAUGUCAUUUGUCUUGGGCCCAGCUGUAGCUUGGAUAUUUCCAUCAAUCCCAUCUGUAAAAGUUGGCUCUCUUCCUGGACAGUCUGCAUCAUUAAAAAAAAUGAAUAAAUCCA